AGUGGAUGGGGAGCAACCUAGUUGUGCGUGUGUAAAGGUAGUGCCAAGAAAAGCGAUGAUCAUGUUGAAAAUCAAUUCCCGGUACCCGAAACCGACACAGGUGGGCAAGUAGAGAAUACUAAGGGGCGCGAGGUAACUCUCUCCAAGGAACUCGGCAAAAUGACCCCGUAACUUAGGGAGAAGGGGUGCCACCGAGAGGUGGUCGCAGUGAAGAGGCCCAGGCGACUGUUUAGCAAAAACAUAGGUCUCUGCAAACUCGAAAGAGGAGGUAUAGGGGCUGACGCCUGCCCAGUGCCGGAAGGUUAAAGAAGUUGGUCAGUUUUGGGAUGAAGCUAGCGACUGAAGCCCCGGUGAACGGCGGCCGUAACUAUAACGGUCCUAAGGUAGCGAAAUUCCUUGUCGGGUAAGUUCCGACCCGCACGAAAGGCGUAACGAUCUGGGCGCUGUCUCGGAGAGAGGCUCGGCGAAAUAGGAUUGUCUGUGAAGAUACGGACUACCUGCAUUUGGACAGAAAGACCCUAUGAAGCUUUACUAUAGCUUGGAAUUGUGUUCGGGCUUCCUGUGCGCAGGAUAGGUGGGAGGCGUAGAAGGUAUUCUUGUGGGGAUACUGGAGCCAACGGUGAGAUACCACUCUCAGGAGGCUAGAAUUCUAACUUAAUUAAGGACAGUUUCAGGUGGGUAGUUUGACUGGGGCGGUCGCCUCCAAAAAGGUAACGGAGGCGUACAAAGGUUCCCUCAGACUGGUUGGAAAUCAGUCGAAGAGUGCAAAGGCAGAAGGGAGCUUGACUGCGAGAAGUACAGUUCGAGCAGGGUGGAAACACGGUCUUAGUGAUCCGACGGUGCUGUGUGGAAGGGCCGUCGCUCAACGGAUAAAAGUUACUCUAGGAUAACAGGCUGAUCUCCCCCAAGAGUUCACAUCGACGGGGAGGUUUGGCACCUCGAUGUCGGCUCAUCGCAACCUGGGGCGGAAGUACGUCCCAAGGGUUGGGCUGUUCGCCCAUUAAAGCGGUACGUGAGCUGGGUUCAGAACGUCGUGAGACAGUUCGGUCCAUAUCCGAUGUAGGCGUGAGAAUAUUGAGAGGAGCCUUCCUUAGUACGAGAGGACCGGGAAGGACGCACCGCUGGUGUACCUGUUAUGAUGCCAAUUGUAAACGCAGGGUAGCCAAGUGCGGAGAGGAUAACCGCUGAAAGCAUCUAAGUGGGAAGCCCACCUCAAGAUGAGUAUUCUGGUGUAAGGUCACGGGAAGACGACCCGUAAAUAGGCACGAGGUGGAAGUGCAGAGAUGUAUGAAGCCGAAGUGUACUAAUAGACCGUCGGCUU
rnacentral:rRNA from 1 species